rnacentral:tRNA from 1 species
AGGGCGUUAAUCUAAACAAGACCUCUGAUUUCGGCUCAGAAAAUUAUGGUUCAAGUCCAUAACACCCUU